ACAUUUUGGUUAUCGGGUUUAUUAAUUCAAUCCAUCCCAAGAAAAGAAAUGAGUGAACCACCAAAAUAUGCGUAUCCGUAUCCUGCUCAAGGUCCAUACCAAGGGCCGCCUCCGGUAAUGGCACCACCACCACAAUAUUAUGCUGCACCUCCGCCCCGUAAACAAGCUGGUUUUCUCGAGGGAUGUCUUGCGGCCAUGUGUUGCUGUUUCCUAGUUGACGAAUGUUGCUGCGACCCUUCCAUCAUAUGUUUCUUCUAAUUCAAUAAAAUGAUAAUUAAACAGUGUAUUCAUAUUUCAAUUUCGGACAUAAUUUUAUAUGAAAUUAAUGUUUUCUUAAAUUA